UACGAAGGGGGCGAGCGUUGUUCGGAAUUACUGGGCGUAAAGGGCGCGUAGGCGGCGAUCCGAGUCAGAUGUGAAAGUCCUGGGCUUAACCUGGGGACUGCAUUUGAUACUGGAUUGCUUGAAUUCGGGAGAGGAUAGCGGAAUUCCCAGUGUAGAGGUGAAAUUCGUAGAUAUUGGGAAGAACACCGGUGGCGAAGGCGGCAUCCUGGACCGACACUGACGCUGAGGAGGCGAAAAGCCAGGGGAGCAAACGGG
rnacentral:rRNA from 1 species